rnacentral:pre_miRNA from 1 species
CUGCAGGGAGGAAUUUGAUCAGUCAGGCUGCUGGCUAUUUUCCAUGACUUAUCUAGUUCUGGAUAUAACCAAAGCUCAACUGUAUGGUGCUAACG